ACCAGGUGUGAGCUGUCAUUACUUUACCAGGUGUGAGCGUACUUACUUUACAGGUGUGCCGUGGGUGUACAUUACUUUACCAGGUGUGAGCCGUGUGGGUGUACAUUCUUUACCGGUGUGAGCCGUGGGUGUACAUUACUUUACCAGGUGUGAGCCUGUACAUUACUUUACCAGGUGUGAGCUGUACAUUACUUUACCAGGUGUGAGCUUAUGUACAUUACUUUACCAGGUGUGAGCCGUUUUACAUUACUUUACCAGGUGUGAGCCGUCGUGGGUGUACAUUACUUUAACCAGGGUGAGCCGUGGGGUGUACAUUUCUUUACCAGGUGUGAGCCUGUGGGGUACAUUACUUUACCAGGUGUGAGCCGUGUGGGUGUACAUUUCUUUACCAGGUGUGAGCCGUGUGGGUGUACAUUUCUUUCCAGGUGUGAGCCGUGUGGUGUACAUUUCUUUACCAGGUGUGAGCCGUGUGGGUGUACAUUUCUUUACCAGGUGUGAGCCGUGUGGUGUACAUUACUUACCAGGUGUGAGAGCUGUGGGGUGUACAUUACUUUACCAGGUGUGAGCCGUGUGGGUGUACAUUUCUUUACCAGGUGUGAGCUGUACAUUACUUUACCAGGUGUGAGCUGUGUGGGUGUAUAUUCUUUACCAGUGUGAGCUGUGUGGUGUACUUUUUUACCAGGUGUGAGCCGUGGGGUGUACAUUUCUUUACCAGGUGUGAGCCGUGUGGGUGUUACAUUCUUUUACACAGGUGUGAGCCGUGUGGGUGUACAUUUCUUUACCAGGUGUGAGCUGUACAUUACUUUACCAGGUGUGAGCUGUGUGGGUGUAUAUUUCUUUACCAGGUGUGAGCGUGUGUGGGUGUACAUUUCUUACAGGUGUGAGCCGUGUGGGUGUACAUUUCUUUACCGGUGUGAGCUGUGUGGGUGUACAUUUCUUUACCAGGUUGUAGCUGUGUGGGUGUACAUUUCUUUACCAGGUGUGAGCUGUGUGGGUGUACAUUUCUUUACCAGGUGUGUGAGCGGGGUGUACAUUUUACCAGUGUGAGUGACGGUAAGCGGUCGGUGGAGCGGUCGUCGCGAUGGAUCUGGAACUUCUGUAUUCCGUUCAUGCCCUCCAGCGCGGCGAAGCCCUGCAGAGGAACCUUGGACGUGCCCGUCACGAACUGCAGGAACUUGGCUCUGUCCGCCUGGUCGAAGAACGCAGGGCCGCCAGAACCACUGGAUCUGAGGUGAGAAACGGUCAGGUCACACCUACACU
rnacentral:lncRNA from 1 species